rnacentral:rRNA from 1 species
GAUGAACGCUGGCGGCGUGCCUAAUACAUGCAAGUCGAGCGAAUGGAUUAAGAGCUUGCUCUUAUGAAGUUAGCGGCGGACGGGUGAGUAACACGUGGGUAACCUGCCCAUAAGACUGGGAUAACUCCGGGAAACCGGGGCUAAUACCGGAUAACAUUUUGAACCGCAUGGUUCGAAAUUGAAAGGCGGCUUCGGCUGUCACUUAUGGAUGGACCCGCGUCGCAUUAGCUAGUUGGUGAGGUAACGGCUCACCAAGGCAACGAUGCGUAGCCGACCUGAGAGGGUGAUCGGCCACACUGGGACUGAGACACGGCCCAGACUCCUACGGGAGGCAGCAGUAGGGAAUCUUCCGCAAUGGACGAAAGUCUGACGGAGCAACGCCGCGUGAGUGAUGAAGGCUUUCGGGUCGUAAAACUCUGUUGUUAGGGAAGAACAAGUGUCAGUUGAAUAAGCUGGCACCUUGACGGUACCUAACCAGAAAGCCACGGCUAACUACGUGCCAGCCGCCGCCGUAAUAC